rnacentral:tRNA from 1 species
CAGAGAGUAGUUUAAUAAAAUAUUAGUUUUGGGAAUUAAAGAUAAAAGUUUUCUUUUUUCUCUGA